CGGUAGGAGGGAGAGAGAGGAGAGGAGAGGCGUGCAGCAGCCAGCAGAAGCAGCAUUGGCGAUUGAUGAGUGGUGCGAGUGCAUGCGAGUAUGGAGGAAAAGCUACAAAAAUUGCGCGUGUGGGUGCAGCCUUUGCAUGCGCGCCCUCCGGCCGGCCUCCCUGCCUGCCGCUUUUGGGGGUGAGCCUGAUGAGCUCUGACACGAGCGUGCGCGCUUGUCUUGCACGGACCGCUCGAUCUCCACCCCGCAGGAACGCAG
rnacentral:lncRNA from 1 species